GGUGCUCAUACAAGCACUAUUGCAUCAGAUCCCAUCAGAACUUCGAAGUUAAGCGUGUUUGUGCAAGAGUAGUACUAGAAUGGGUGACCUCAUGGGAAGUCCUUGUGUCAUAACCC
rnacentral:rRNA from 1 species